GCGGGGGUAGCCAAGCCAGGUUAAAGGCGCCAGACUCAAGAUCUGGUCCCGAAGGGGUUCAGGGGUUCGAAUCCCCUCCCCCGCA
rnacentral:tRNA from 1 species